rnacentral:rRNA from 1 species
UACGUAGGUGGCAAGCGUUGUCCGGAUUUAUUGGGUUUAAAGGGCGCGUAGGCGGCUUUGUAAGUCAGUGGUGAAAUACUCUAGCUUAACUAGAGGGGUGCCAUUGAUACUGCAGAGCUUGAGUACAGAUGAGGUAGGCGGAAUUGACGGUGUAGCGGUGAAAUGCAUAGAUAUCGUCAAGAACACCGAUAGCGAAGGCAGCUUACUGGGCUGUAACUGACGCUGAUGCACGAAGGCCAGGGGAGCAAACGGG